rnacentral:rRNA from 1 species
CCCUUAGAUGUUCUGGGCCGCACGCGCGCUACACUGAUGCAUUCAACGAGUGUACCUUGGCCGAGAGGCCUGGGCAAUCUUUUGAACGUGCAUCGUGAUAGGGAUAGAUUAUUGCAAUUAUUAAUCUUGAACGAGGAAUUCCUAGUAAACGCAGUUCAUCAAACUGCAUUGAUUACGUCCCUGCCCUUUGUACACACCGCCCGUCGCUCCUACCGAUUGAAUGAUCCGAUGAAUAUCAUGGAUUGAGGAUGCAAGCAGGUUCGCCUGUCUUCAUCUUCGAGAAGUGAAGUAAAUCUUAUCAUUUAGAGGAAGGAGAAGUCGUAACA